ensembl:lncRNA
UUACUAUUAAUCUGCUCCAUACAGAAGGCAGAUUUAACUUCCUGUAUCUCAAUAUUCCCCUAGAGGAUAUUAUGAAAUACUGAUAUUGCAUUUGCUGUUUUCUAGUCACUGGGAUCUGAGGUAAUUUAAGCAAUAGAGUGGAGGGGCAUUCAAUGGCUUGGUCAUUUCAAACCAUUCUAGGACUGAGUCAAGCAGAAAUGAUUCACACUCAGGUAGUUGGCUUUCACAGUGAUUGUUGUGCUGCAUUGCUGUGGGAAAUCUCAGAGGGGAAAAAUGUGCCAUGCUGCAAAUUUAAUCGCCUGUAGGUAAGCACCACCUCAUCUAGCUGCAGCUGUUGUUGAGCUGUGCUUCAGAGCCAAGGACGUUUCUGCUUCUUCUGUUGUCCUGCCAGCAAGGAGCUGGAGGUGCACAAGAUACUGGAAGAGGACACUGCCAGGACAGCUGACCUAAACUGCCCAAAGGAAUGUUCCCUACUGGCUGACAUAAGUCAAUGAGUGGUGAGCAAUUGCUUUAUUCAACAUUUGUUUUGUAUAUUCUUUUAUCAUUACUAUUAAUGAUAAUGCUUUUCCCUUUUCUGUCCUAUUAGACUGUCUGUAUCACAACCAGUGAGUUCUGUCUUUUUUCCAAUAUUCUCCCCCAUCCCACUGCAGGGCACUGAGCAAAUGGCUGAGUGGUGGUGAGCUGCCUGACAGGUUAAACCACAAUAGACUCCAGGUCGCACCAGCUGUCUGAGGGUUGUGGCAGGAGUAACAGAUGCAACAAUUCAUGGAAGUUUUAUUUUUAGAUGCAAAUCUCAGCACUGGGGCAGAUCUUUGGUAUAUGUCAGGGCAUUUUAUUGACUGAAGUUUAUUCUAUAUCAAUACAAGCUUACCUGAAAAUGUACUUUUGGGAUUAUUCUCUCCACAUUCACAGAGAAACAGAUUUAUCCAGUGAAAAAAAUUCUGUUUAUUCAGACAUGCUCUACAGUGUACCAUUCCUCAUCUACAAGAGUAAAAAUGUUGAACUUCACUUUGUGGAAUGUGGUUUCUUUGUGUUCAAAAUGAAUUUUAAACAAAUGCAAUAGUUUUGUGCCUCCAGAUAUCACAACUGCCAUUAAUUAGUAAUCCUGGAAAAUCUGCUUAGAGUUAACAACAGGUGAUUAGAUAAGCAACUAACCAAAGUCCUACUGCUUGUGGCUGGAUUACUUGAAAGUUCUCCUUAUUGUCACUGGGGUUUUUCAUUUCUGUUUGGGCUGAAAAUGCUUUGCAAAUAGUUUAACUUCAAGUCUUAGCAGCACCUGUGAGAAGGG